rnacentral:rRNA from 1 species
GACAGAGGUGGCGAGCGUUGUUCGGAAUCACUGGGCUUAAAGGGCGCGUAGGUGGUAGUGCAAGUCUGAGGUGGAAUCUUAGGGCUUAACCCUAAAAUUGCCUUGGAAACUGCACUACUUGAGUCAGUGAGGGGAGGGUAGAAUUCCUGGUGUAGCGGUGAAAUGCGUAGAUAUCAGGAGGAAGGCCGGUGGCGAAGGCGGCCCUCUGGCGCUGAACUGACACUGAGGCGCGAAAGCGUGGGUAG